rnacentral:pre_miRNA from 1 species
CACCUCUGCAGGCGGCUGGCCCCCAGGCUGCACUGGGCAUGUAUCUCUUUGAAAGGCUCCCCCUCAAACACGACUAGGAGC